rnacentral:lncRNA from 1 species
GUAUAUUGAUGCUGUAAUAUCAAAAACAGCAUUCUUACAGUUUAGAUUUCAAGCUAAUAAUAGUAGAGAGUUUAAAAUCUGAAUUAGAGGACAAUAUUUCUGCAGCAUUUCAAAAAUUGAAUGUUGAUUGCAAAAGGAUAAGGGAAUGGCAAAAAAAUGAAAGCAAGAUAACAGAUUUUAUAAGUGAGCAGACCAUUGAGAAAUGAAAACAAACUGAUAUGCUAGACAACAGUCUGCAUCUAAGUACCCUGAUCUUGAAUUAUUAACUUUAGACUGGAUUAAAAAACAACAGAGUGAAGAAACUUUAAUUACUGGAAAUGCUAUCAGAACCUGGACAAAAUCUGAAGCAGAAGAACUUCAUCUCUCUCAAGAAGACUUUAAAGGAUCUAGAGAUUUCAAAAAAUGAAAAAGCUAAUGGCACAAAUUGAAAAAGAGAGCAUAUUUUCCAGGAAAUGCUAAGAAAUUUAUAUAGAACUAAGAAGAAUCAUUUAACAAACAUAAAUGUAACAACAAACAUGUAACAAGCAUGAUAUUUAACAACAAACAUGUGCAAACAUGGAUGAAAUGCCAUCAUCUAUCAUCCAAAGAUCUACAGAAUCAUGUAAAAUUACUAGCAAUAGCAACAGUGAGAUCCAUGAAUCACUAUGUGAACUCAUAAUGAUGAGAACAUUGGCCAAAAUGAAGUUGUUGAUUCAAAAAUCAUCAAAAUUGGAAGUGAUGCAGAAAAUGCAGAACUCACCUCUGUUGACAACGAUAGUACUGAAUCUGAAGCUUCAUAUGUGAUGUAAAUCCACGGUCAGAUGAACUUUAAUUUUUUCUCGAAUAUUUUUACUACACAGUAAAGUACAUGUUCAGCGCACAAAGCAUUUUAAUAUAUGUUAUUUAAACUAUACUUUCUCAGUAAAACUUUCACUUGUCUUUUUUGAUUAAGAAAUUAAAAGGUUUUAACUUCCUGUAAAAAUAUAUCUGUUGAAAGUUUUUGAAUUUUAUCCAACUUACAGCCCAUGGGUGCUACUUUGAGAAUGUGCCCAUGAGUUUCAAAAGUGGGGUGAUAUGGUAAGCCCAAAACAUAUUACUAUUUGUAAAAUGGAUUCAUCAAUAAAAUACUAUAAUUUUUCCUGUUGCAACAUUGGACUGAUGGUUAUUACUUCUCCUAUUACACUCAGUUGAAAAGACUAUUAGAGUAGAAUAUUUUCUCGGUAGAUG